UGCCCCAUGGCUGAGUUGGUUACAGCGUCCGACUGUUAGGUCGAAGAAAAUGUCUUCACUUGCCAUAUCGGAAGGCCCUGAGUUCGAGCCUCAGUGGGGCAG